rnacentral:rRNA from 1 species
AUUAAUUUUAUUAUUUUUUAUAUUUUAAUAAAAAUAAUUUUAUAAAUUUUUGUUUUAGUAAUUUUUAAGGAAAUAAUAAUAUUUAUAGUAGUUUAUUAGUAUAGUAAUAGAAAAUUGAAAUAAUUUGAAAAAUUUUUAUUUUAAAAGAAAAUUUAAUUUAUUGUACCUUGUGUAUCAGGGUUUAUUAAAUAUAAAAUAAUUAUAUUUAUUUUUCUCGAAUUUUAAAGAUUUAAUUAUAUAAAAAAGUUAAUGUAGAAUAAUUAUUUUAAAUAUAUAAUUAGAAAUGAAAUGUUAAUCGUUUUAAAAUAUAUCUAGUUUUUUAAGAAAUAAAUUUAAUUUAGAUUUAUUAAUUUAAUUUAUUAAUUUUGAAAUAAAUUAAUUUAAUAAAAUUAAUAUUUUAAGGGAUUAGCUUUAAAAUAAAUUUUUAAAUUUUAAAAAAUUAUUUAAAUAAAUGUAAGCUUAAAAUUAGUUAUCUUUAAUAAUUUUGUUAUAAAUUAUUUAUUAAAUAAUAUUAUUUAUUUUUAAAUUAAAUUUUUUAUUAAUAUAUAUAUUUUAAUUUUAAAAAUAUAGAAAUUAUGAUAAAAUUAGUAUAUUGUUAUUUAUAUAAAUAAUAAAAAUUGAUAGGUUUAAAUAAGGAAUUCGGCAAAUUUUAUAUUCACCUGUUUAUCAAAAACAUGUCUUUUUGAAUUUAAUUUAAAGUCUAACCUGCCCACUGAAAUUUUUAAAGGGCCGCAGUAUUUUGACUGUGCAAAGGUAGCAUAAUCAAUAGUCUUUUAAUUGAAGGCUUGUAUGAAUGGUUGAAUGAGAUAUAAACUGUCUUUUUUAAAAUUUUAUAGAAUUUUAUUUUUUAAUUAAAAAGUUAAAAUAUAAUUAAAAGACGAGAAGACCCUAUAGAUCUUUAUUUUUAUUUUUUAUAAAUUAAUUAGAUUAUAAAGAUUUAUAAUAAAAUUAAAAAUUUUACUGGGGUGGUAUUAAAAUUUAAGAAACUUUUAUUUUUAUUUACAUUAAUAUAUGAAUAUUUGAUCCAAUAAUAUUGAUUAAAAAAUUAAGUUACCUUAGGGAUAACAGCGUAAUUUUUUUUUAGAGUUCAUAUCGACAAAAAAGAUUGCGACCUCGAUGUUGGAUUAAGAGUUAUUUUUAGGUGUAGAAGUUUAAAGUUUAAGUCUGUUCGACUUUUGAAUUCUUACAUGAUCUGAGUUCAAACCGGUGUAAGCCAGGUUGGUUUCUAUCUUUAAUUAAUUAUUAUAUUAUAGUACGAAAGGACCUAAUAUAAAAAAUAUAAAUUUUAUUAAUUUUAGAAUUAUAAUAAAUUGAUUU